UACUUAGUUGCUGGUUGUUGUUGU
rnacentral:piRNA from 1 species